GUGGUGUACAACUAAGUGUUAGGGCGUGAUGUUACUCUGAGCUGGUACCCAGUUACCCUUUGGGGUCGCUAGGGUUGACAGAUCCCCUAGCUUACACUCAUAUUGUACACCCGCAAAACGCCAAUACAUGGGGGCUAUUAAGUGAAUGAGGUAAUGGUUGGAAGAAGAGGCAUCGCUUGAAAGGAGCCUACUGGUGAUGUAGGAAUGUGGAGACUACCGUUGUGAUGGGACUAGUGGUGGACCGAUGAAACAAGUCUUAGACGAUGCCGAGCAGAAGGUAAUACCGGACCGAUUGGCAGGACCCCUGGGCUGUCUGGAAGGUGAACAGUGAGACGCUUCAACUUCAUUAUUCGUGAACACUUGGCAGACGGACUACGGAAGGCGCAGAAGGUACACCAUUGAUGAACAAGGAAAAGGGAUGGAGCCCGAGGGCAGAGUACUGCACCCAUGAGGUCGACACACACACCUAGUUACAGCGGGCGGCCGGCGCGUUCGGCCUUCAGGAUUGGGGGUGCUCCGCCGGAACCCCCAAAGUGAUAAGCGUGCAGAUAGCUAAGAAAUAUUGCCAUGAAUUGUAAUUAGUGUAAUUAAAUGAAUGCAAGUUUCAUUUACUAGCUAUAGAUGUAGUUAUUAAUUGUAAUUGAAUGAUACUUUAUAAUUAAUGAAUAUUCCUUCUAAUUAUUCCUUAAUACUUUGUUAUGCACUAAAUAAUUAUUUAUCAUUCAUCCUAAUUAGCUAUUUGAGCGAUU
rnacentral:lncRNA from 1 species